AUUGAACGCUGGCGGCAGGCCUAACAAAUGCAAGUCGAACGAGUGGCGGACGGGUGAGUAAUGUCUGGGAAACUGCCCGAUGGAGGGGGAUAACUACUGGAAACGGUAGCUAAUACCACAUACCAUCGGAUGUGCCCAGAUGGGAGUAGCUAGUAGGUGGGGGAACGGCUCACCUAGGCGACGAUCCCGAGCUGGUCUGAGAGGAUGACCAGCCACACUGGAACUGAGACACGGUCCAGACUCCUACGUGAGGCAGAAGUGGGGAAUAUUGCACAAUGGGCGCAAGCCUGAUGCAGCCAUGCCGCGUGUAUGAAGAAGGCCUUCGGGUUGUAAAGUACUUUCAGCGAGGAGGCGUUACUCGCAGAAGAAGCACCGGCUAACGCCGUGCCAGCAGCCGCGGUAAUUC
rnacentral:rRNA from 1 species